AGUGAACGCUGGCGGUAGGCCUAACACAUGCAAGUCGAACGAGUGGCGGACGGGUGAGGAAUACAUCGGAAUCUCCUCUGGCGUGGGGGAUAACGUAGGGAAACUUACGCUAAUACCGAAUACGAUUGAAUGAGCAGAUGUCGGAUGAGCUAGUUGGCGGGGUAAAGGCCCACCAAGGCGACGAUCCGUAGCUGGUCUGAGUGGAUGAUCAGCCACACUGGACCUGAGACACGGUCCAGACUCCUACGGGAGGCAGCAGUGGGGAAUAUGGUACAAUGGGCGCAAGCCUGAGCCAGCCAUACCGCGUGGGUGAAGAAGGCCUUAGGGUUGUAAAGCCCUUUUGUUGGGAAAGCGGUACCCAAAGAAUAAGCACCGGCUAACUUCGUGCCAGCAGCCGCGGUAAUUC
rnacentral:rRNA from 1 species